GUGCUUGCUGCGCCAGCGCAUAUACUAAAACUGGAACGAUACAGAGAAGAGUAGCAUGGCCCCUCUGCAAGGAUGGCACGCAAAUUCGUGAAGUGUUCCGUAUUUUU